AGAGUAGCUCAGUUGGUAGAGCAUCAGCUUCCCAAGCUGAGGGUCGCGGGUUCGAGUCCCGUUUCUC
rnacentral:tRNA from 1 species